rnacentral:rRNA from 1 species
CUGGUUGAUCCUGCCAGUAGUCAUAUGCUUGUCUUAAAGAUUAAGCCAUGCAGGUGUAAGAUCAUAUCUAUGAAUGGUGAAUCCGCGAAUGGCUCAUUAAAUCAGUUAUAAUUUAAUAGGAUGUGAUUCGUUAAUUGGAUAACUGUGGUAAUUCUAGAGCUAAUACAUGCAUAUACGGCUGAACUUUGUUUGGCUGUGCUUUUAUUAGUGCAAACCAGGCCUUCGGGCUGCAAAAUGGUGACUCUGAAUAACUUUGCUGAGCAUUUGGACCUUGUGUCAGUGCUAUUCCUUUAAAGUAUCUGCUCUAUCAACUGUCGAUGGUAUAUUAUAUGUUUACCAUGGUUGUAACGGGUAACGGGGAAUUAGGGUUCGAUUCCGGAGAGGGAGCCUGAGAAACGGCUACCACAUCUAAGGAAGGCAGCAGGCGCGCAAAUUACCCAAUCCCGGCUCGGGGAGGUAGUGACAAAAAAUAACAAUGCGGGACUCUUAUGAGGCUUCGUAAUUGGAAUGAGUACAUUCUAAAUCCUUUAACGAGGAACUAUUGGAGGGCAAGUCUGGUGCCAGCAGCCGCGGUAAUUCCAGCUCCAAUAGCGUAUAUUAAAGUUGUUGCGUCUAAAAAGCUCGUAGUUUUAAAACUUGCCUUGGCUUACAACAGACGUCUAAGGGCGUCACCGUUUGUCGAGAGCAAAUAUGGGUGACUGUUCUUGCCUUCUUCACUGAUUGGCUCGUAAAAGUCAUCGAAGAUCACUUUGAUUAAAUUAGGGUGCUCAAAGCAAGUGUGCUACUUGAAUAUGAAUGCAUGGAAUGAUGGAAUAUGUUGUUGUUCUAUUUGUUGGUUUUUUGAAUGACGAAAUGAUUGAAAGGAACUGUUGGGGGCAUUCGUAUUGUUGUGAGAGAGGUGAAAUUCUUAGACCAUAGCAAGACGAACUACUGCGAAAGCAUUUGCCAAGAAUGUUUUCAUUGAUCAAGAACGAAAGUUAGAGGUUCGAAGGCGAUCAGAUACCGCCCUAGUUCUAACCAUAAACUAUGCCGACUAGCAAUUUGCUUUGUAUUUUUAUGACUAAGUGAGAGGCCACGGGAAACCAAAGUAGGGUUAUGGGGGAAGUAUGGUUGCAAAGCUGAAACUUAAAGGAAUUGACGGAAGGGCACCAUCAGGAGUGGAGCCUGCGGCUUAAUUUGACUCAACACGGGAAAACUUACCUGGUCCUGACACUAGAAGGAUUGACAGAUUGAUAGCUCUUUCUUGAUUUGGUGGAUGGUGGUGCAUGGCCGUUCUUAGUUGGUGGAGUGAUUUGUCUGGUUAAUUCCGAUAACGAACGAGACUCUAGCCUAUUAAAUAAUAUGCGGAAGC